rnacentral:lncRNA from 1 species
CCUUAGAGUUCUUUUGUCUUUCUGACUUAUCAUGUAGUUAUUUUCUUUUUGUCGUUUUGCCCUUCUUUCCUUGGCCGUCCUGGCCUUGUAGUGUGCAUAUCGGAAAUGAAAUGAAAAGAGCGUUUUGCGUUACCUCGUCCGCGUGCUGCACUAAUAUUGUUGUCUGCUGAACCUUUCUUGUCGUUUGACUUGUUUGAUGUAGACGUCAUCGGGGGGUGGGGGCUUUUUCCCUUCAUCCGAUCUUGUUAGGCGGCCGGGUUUCGCCACCAUUAACCCCCGCUGCAGAAGUCAUGGCUGGAGCCCGGCUCCCGUAGGAGUCCGGGCGAAGUCUUCCUUGUAGGCGGAAUCCGGCUCCCGUAGGAGUCCGGGUGAAGUCUUCCUUG